rnacentral:rRNA from 1 species
GACAUAGGUCGCAAACGUUAUCCGGAAUUAUUGGGCGUAAAGGAUGCGUAGAUGGUUCAAUAAGUUACUGGUGGGAAAUCGAGGCUCAACCUCGUGGAAGUCAGUAAUACUGUUGAACUUGAGUGCAGGAGAGGUUAACGGAACUUUAUGUGGAGCGGUAAAAUGCGUAGAUAUAUGAAAGAACAUCAAUAUGGCGAAGGCAGUUAACUAUUCGU